GGAGCAGGCACUUUUUUGCAAUGUGAGGCGUGUAUCCAAGAACUCUUCCCGGCUAGUUUAACUGACGUUGCUGUAAUCAGGAGCACUUGAUAAGGACCAUCAAAUCUUGGUUCUAGGGUGUGUUUCCUGAGAAACUUCUUGACCAUAACCCAAUCACCAGGAAGCAGCUUGUGUGUACCUGUAUUCGACUCAGGAUCUGGAAUAGAAGAAAACACUUGGGCAUGUAUCUUGGUCAAGGCAUGUGAGAGGGCAGUCACAUAGUCUACCAUAGCAUCUGACUGAAUCUGAAGCUGCUGGGGGAAGUAACAACCUAACCUGGGUGCUGUACCAAACAAAAUCUCAUAAGGUGAUAGGCUAUAUUUUCCUCUGGGAGUGUACCUUACACUAAACAACGCUAGUGGGAGACUCUCGGGCCAGGGCAUGUUAGUUUCUUGUGACAUUUUAAGCAUUCUGGCUUUCAAAGUGCCAUUCAUGCGCUCUACUUUACCACUACUCUGUGGGUGAUAUGGUGUGUGGAAUGCAAGGGUCAC